rnacentral:rRNA from 1 species
UACGUAGGGGGCAAGCGUUGUCCGGAAUUAUUGGGCGUAAAGAGCUUGUAGGUGGCUCGUUGCGUCGGGAGUGAAAACCUGCGGCUUAACCGCAGGCCUGCUUCCGAUACGGGCGAGCUAGAGUUCGGCAGGGGAGACUGGAAUUCCUGGUGUAGCGGUGGAAUGCGCAGAUAUCAGGAGGAACACCGGUGGCGAAGGCGGGUCUCUGGGCCGAUACUGACACUGAGAAGCGAAAGCGUGGGGAGCGAACAGG